UACGUAGGGGGCAAGCGUUAUCCGGAUUUACUGGGUGUAAAGGGAGCGUAGACGGCGAAGAAAGUCUGAAGUGAAAGCCCGCGGCUCAACCGCGGAAUGGCUCUGGAAACUUUUUUGCUGGAGUACCGGAGAGGUAAGCGGAAUUCCUAGUGUAGCGGUGAAAUGCGUAGAUAUUAGGAGGAACACCAGUGGCGAAGGCGGCUUACUGGACGGUAACUGACGUUGAGGCUCGAAAGCGUGGGGAGCAAACAGG
rnacentral:rRNA from 1 species